AGCGAACGCUGGCGGCAGGCCUAACACAUGCAAGUCGAACGAACCCUUCGGGGUUAGUGGCGGACGGGUGAGUAACACGUGGGAACGUACCUUUAGGUUCGGAACAACACAGGGAAACUUGUGCUAAUGCCGAAUGUGCCCUUCGGGGGAAAGGAUUUAUCGCCUUUAGUAGCGGCCCGCGUCUGAUUAGCUUGUUGGUGAGGUAAAGGCUCACCAAGGCUUCGAUCAGUAGCUGGUCUGAGAGGAUGAUCAGCCACACUGGGACUGAGGCACGGCCCAGACUCCUACGGGAGGCAGCAGUGGGGAAGUCUUGCGCAAUGGGCGAAAGCCUGACGCAGCCAUGCCGCGUGAAUGAUGAAGGUCUUAGGAUUGUAAAAUUCUUUCACCGGGGAAGAUAAUGACGGUACCCGGAGAAGAAGCCCGGCUAACUUCGUGCCAGCAGCCGCGGUAAGGUGCGCGAGU
rnacentral:rRNA from 1 species